rnacentral:misc_RNA from 1 species
AUCUUGAAUCUAUUUCUUUUAUCGAGAGGU